rnacentral:tRNA from 3 species
GCCCGGAUGGUGGAAUCGGUAGACACAAGGGAUUUAAAAUCCCUCGGCGUUCGAGCUGUGCGGGUUCAAGUCCCGCUCCGGGUACCA